rfam:Stegodyphus mimosarum contig67740, whole genome shotgun sequence.
GCCUUCGUGGUGUAGUGGUCAGCAUACUCGAAGCGUAACCGAGAGGUCCGUGGUUCGAUUCCCGGCGAGGGCA